rnacentral:rRNA from 1 species
CGUAUGGGGAAUGCCUAGGCUCUCAGAGGCGAUGAAGGACGUGAUAAGCUGCGAAAAGCUGCGGGGAUUGGCACAUACGAUGUGAUCCGCAGAUAUCCGAAUGGGGCAACCCACUAUAUUGAAGAUAUAGUAUCCUGCAAAGGAAGCAAACCCGGGGAACUGAAACAUCUAAGUACCCGGAGGAGAAGAAAACAAAAGUGAUUCCGUAAGUAGUGGCGAGCGAACGCGGAGUAGCCCAAACCAUAGUUGUUACGGCAAUUGUGGGGUAAUAGGACCACGCUAUUCGAUGCUUAAUAAAUUAGAAUCUACUGGAAAGUAGGACCAAAGAGGGUGAUAGUCCCGUAUAGGUAAGUUAAGUUAUUGAUAGUGGUAUCCUGAGUAGUGCGGGGCACGUGAAACCUUGCAUGAAUUCGCCGGGACCAUCCGGUAAGGCUAAAUACUCCUGAGAGACCGAUAGUGAACCAGUACCGUGAGGGAAAGGUGAAAAGAACCCUGAAUAAGGGAGUGAAAUAGAUCCUGAAACCAUACGCUUACAAGCGGUCGGAGCAGACUUGAUCUGUGACGGCGUGCCUUUUGCAUAAUGAGCCUACGAGUUACCGUUACUAGCAUGGUUAAUCGAUUCAGUCGAGGAUCCGAAGCGAAAGCGAGUCUGAAUAGGGCGAAUAAGUUAGUAGUGGUAGACGCGAAACCGAGUGAUCUACCCAUGAGCAGGUUGAAGCUUUGUUAACCCAAAGUGGAGGACCGAACCCGUUGACGUUGAAAAGUCUUGGGAUGACUUGUGGGUAGGGGUGAAAGGCCAAUCAAACUCGGAAAUAGCUCGUACUCCCCGAAAUGCAUUUAGGUGCAGCGUUGUAAAAGUUAUAUAGAGGUAGAGCUACUGAUUGGAUGCGGGGGCUUCACCGCCUACCAAUUCCUGACAAACUCCGAAUGCUAUAUAAUGAUUUACAGCAGUGAGGGCAUGGGUGCUAAGGUCCAUGUCCGAGAGGGAAAGAACCCGGACCAUCAGCUAAGGUCCCCAAGUGUAUACUAAGUUGAAUAAACGAGGUUUGACUGCCCAGACAGCUAGGAUGUUGGCUUGGAAGCAGCCAUUCAUUUAAAGAGUGCGUAACAGCUCACUAGUCGAGCGGUCAAGCAUGGAUAAUAAUCGGGCAUAAGUAUACCACCGAAGCUAUGGCUUCAUACGUAAGUAUGAGGGGUAGGGGAGCAUUCUAUGGGCGUUGAAGGUGAACUGCGAGGUUUGCUGGAGCGUAUAGAAAAGAAAAUGUAGGCAUAAGUAACGACAAUGCGGGCGAGAAACCCGCACACCGAAAGACUAAGGUUUCCUCAGCUAUGCUAAUCAGCUGAGGGUUAGUCGGGACCUAACGCGAACCCGAAAGGGGUAGUGGAUGGACAACCAGUUAAUAUUCUGGUACCUGCCGGCGCUAAACGUGACGGAGGGGAGUAGUUAUUGCGUACUGACGGAAUAGUACGUUGAAGCA